rnacentral:rRNA from 1 species
GAUGAACGCUGGCGGCGUGCCUAAUACAUGCAAGUCGAGCGAACGGACGAGAAGCUUGCUUCUCUGAUGUUAGCGGCGGACGGGUGAGUAACACGUGGAUAACCUACCUAUAAGACUGGGAUAACUUCGGGAAACCGGAGCUAAUACCGGAUAAUAUUUUGAACCGCAUGGUUCAAAAGUGAAAGACGGUCUUGCUGUCACUUAUAGAUGGAUCCGCGCUGUAUUAGCUAGUUGGUAAGGUAACGGCUUACCAAGGCAACGAUGCAUAGCCGACCUGAGAGGGUGAUCGGCCACACUGGAACCGAGACACGGUCCAGACUCCUACGGGAGGCAGCAGUAGGGAAUCUUCCGCAAUGGGCGAAAGCCUGACGGAGCAACGCCGCGUGAGUGAUGAAGGUCUUCGGAUCGUAAAACUCUGUUAUUAGGGAAGAACAUAUGUGUAAGUAACUGUGCACAUCUUGACGGUACCUAAUCAGAAAGCCACGGCUAACUACGUG